UGGACAUCAAUGAGAGAAAAAUACAUGUAGCAGGACAAUUCAAGAGAACAAAAAGAUAGAACAUAUCAAGGAAAAGAGAAGGCAGAAGAACAUCAGGAAUGCACCUACAAUAGAGACAUGGCCAGGUAAAACACAUCCUAUGCCGUCAGCAGCUAUGCCAAACCUUCCU
rnacentral:lncRNA from 1 species